GAUGAACGCUGGCGGCGUGCCUAAUACAUGCAAGUCGAGCGAAUGGAUUAAGAGCUUGCUCUUAUGAAGUUAGCGGCGGACGGGUGAGUAACACGUGGGUAACCUGCCCAUAAGACUGGGAUAACUCCGGGAAACCGGGGCUAAUACCGGAUAACAUUUUGAACCGCAUGGUUCGAAAUUGAAAGGCGGCUUCGGCUGUCACUUAUGGAUGGACCCGCGUCGCAUUAGCUAGUUGGUGAGGUAACGGCUCACCAAGGCAACGAUGCGUAGCCGCACUGAGAGGGUGAUCGGCCACACUGGGACUGAAACACGGCCCAGACUCCUACGGGAGGCAGCAGUAGGGAAUCUUCCGCAAUGGACGAAAGUCUGACGGAGCAACGCCGCGUGAGUGAUGAAGGCUUUCGGGUCGUAAAACUCUGUUGUUAGGGAAGAACAAGUGCUAGUUGAAUAAGCUGGCACCUUGACGGUACCUAACCAGAAAGCCACGGCUAACUACGUGCCAGCAGCCGCGGUAA
rnacentral:rRNA from 1 species